GGCGGUUUAGCUCAGUUGGUUAGAGCGUGGUGCUAAUAACGCCAAGUUGCGGUUCGAUCCCUACGGCCA
rnacentral:tRNA from 1 species